AAAAACACUCGGGUUUAGGAUGAAAAGUUAAAAUUGAAUAAACCACCACAUCUCGAGCAUGUUACAGAUGAGAGAAGACGUGACAAACAACGGAAAGGAACCCUGUCAAAUGUGAACACACGGUAUUUAUCCAGCACGAACUAGCCACAAAGCCAGUGGGUCCAAGCGACACCGCAGCACCGGCAACCCUGACUGUGCAUUUCAUUGCUUACCAAUUGAACUUGACAUUGGCUCAAAACCUAUAUGAUCCUCUCAUCUUCGUAGGACGUUUUUUUUCCGAACCUGCUCCCCUCUGCCCUGCGAGCCGACUGGGCCAGUGAGGUCGGCAAGCUCUGGUGGAGGGACGGAUGGUGAACAGUGGCACUGCUCUGGAUACAAAUUGACACCCCGCCAUCGCGGGAGCUACAGCUGGGGAUACGUGAAUUCAAAGCAAACAUCAUGAGAAUUUUGAGAGUCGGCCUUUUGGAGGAAACGCUGGAUGAGUUCCUCCAGCUGCGUAUCUUCACUACGACUCCAGCUACGCCUGUAAGCGCAACGGCGUUAAGCGCAAGAUGGAGGAGAUGGAGCUCUUGACCUCCUCACCCUGUUCACCGUUCUCUCCCUCAACACCAGGGCUUUUUCACCUCAGGAAUUUUCACUCGCCAUUGUAGGAGAGGCACGCGUGUUACUGACAUCGUUAUCGGAGGCUCUGUUCCAUUCGAGUAAGCCAGUAAGCCACAGCGGUGGGGGACUGAGCCAGCAGGAACGAUACCAGGAUCCGGAAACUGCGGCAGCUGGGUGGACUUCACCCGUACUGGACUCAUUUUAUUAGUCACACCUGUGCUCAUUCCUACCGUGACAUGCCGAAAUGUCUUUUGCGAAAAAGGUGGUGAUGUUUUGACCACUGAGGUCAGGUCGGGUCAGACACGAUAGUCAUCACUUAAUAAAGUCUGACAAAAACUCUCAUCAUAAGGCUCAGUUUCCAUCCUUUUCCCCGAGGUUAAUAUAGGUUGUUGAGAGGGUUUUUUUUUUGUCCAACUACUAUUUCCGAGGUUAAGAGUGAACACACUGAAGUGAAUGAAAUAUUCAAGAACUGAAGAGUCACCUGUAACCAAAGAUAUUCAUCGGAUUAAAGGCCACUUACUACUUAAAAUGGACUUUUGCUGCAAUGAGUAAAUGUAUUCAGUCAUUAUAAGAAAUAUGAUUAUUGCAUUGUUGUUCCUGGUUUAUUUUGCCGGUGCUCAACUACCUGCUUUGUUCUCUUUCUUUCU